rnacentral:rRNA from 1 species
GACGAACGCUGGCGGCGUGCUUAACACAUGCAAGUCGAACGGAAAGGCCCUGCUUUUGUGGGGUGCUCGAGUGGCGAACGGGUGAGUAACACGUGAGUAACCUGCCCUUGACUUUGGGAUAACUUCAGGAAACUGGGGCUAAUACCGGAUAGGAGCUCCUGCUGCAUGGUGGGGGUUGGAAAGUUUCGGCGGUUGGGGAUGGACUCGCGGCUUUUCAGCUUGUUGGUGGGGUAGUGGCUUACCCAGGCUUUGACGGGUAGCCGGCCUGGGAGGGUGAUCGGCCACCUGGGAAGUGAGACAGGGUCCAGAGUCCUACGGGAGGCAGCAGUGGGGAAUAUUGGACAAUGGGCGCAAGCGUGGUCCAGACAUACCGCGUGGGUGAAGAAGGCCUUCGGGUUGUAAAGCCCGUUUGUUGGGAAAGAAAAGCAGCAGGUUAAUACCCCGCUGUUCUGACGGUACCCAAAGAAUAAGCACCGGCUAACUUCGUG